UUGAAUAACACUGGAUUCCAAUUCAGAUUUACAUUCCAUUUAUAUGACAUAGCUCACAUAUUGUAAUGAUUUUUUAUUAAUAUAUAAGAGAUUACAUUCUCAAUUUUUUCAAGUUUCCCUUAAAAGAUUAUUGAAAAACAAAACUUAUCUAAAAUUUAAUUAUUAUAUAAAACAAAGUAACCAAAUAUCUCAGUCAACAUUACCUUAUUGUAUGUAUAUAACGAGUCUAUAUAAAGUCUCUCUUCUUCCACAUUAGCUUCCAUCAUAACUCUUAUCUCUCUAUCUUUCUCGGGAACGUAUAAUAAUCUUUCUAAAUCUCUUGAAAAAUGAAAUACUCUUGGUGUUUUGUCUCAUCCAUUCUCAUGAUUUCUUUCAUGCUUUUCUUUGCCACAGAGAUGGAUCUGGUGGAAGCAAAAACUCACGAGGAAAAAAGCAAGACUUACAGACGUUUAUGCGUGGACGAAACAGGAUGCAACCAUGCAUGCAUUUUUAAUGAGCAUUUCGCAGGAGGUCAUUGCCGACACUUAGAAUGUUUCUGUUUUCGCUAAUACUUAUGAUGUAAUUCUUCAUCAUGUUAAUUACUCUAAAAACAUAUAAUAUUCUAUCUUAUCUCUUAUAUCCUUGUUAACUGGUUAUUGAGAAUAUAUGUUUGGUUAA